rnacentral:rRNA from 1 species
AACGAACGCUGGCGGCAGGCUUAACACAUGCAAGUCGAGCGCCCCGCAAGGGGAGCGGCAGACGGGUGAGUAACGCGUGGGAACGUACCUUUUGGUUCGGAACAACUCCGGGAAACUGGAGCUAAUACCGGAUAAGCCCUAACGGGGAAAGAUUUAUCGCCGAAAGAUCGGCCCGCGUCUGAUUAGCUAGUUGGUGAGGUAACGGCUCACCAAGGCGACGAUCAGUAGCUGGUCUGAGAGGAUGAUCAGCCACACUGGGACUGGGACACGGCCCAGACUCCCCCGGGGGGGGGAGGUGGGGGAAAUUGGGAAAAGGGGGCAAACCCCAGCCCCAGCUGCGCCGUGAGAGUGAAGAAGGCUAGGGGUUUAAAACCCUUUUUUGCCGGAAAAUAAAGGGUGUGCCCGGAAAAAAAGCCCCCGGUAAAAUUUC